rnacentral:lncRNA from 1 species
AAAACCUCCUGUGGAUAUGACCCACAUAUGUGUGUAUGUGGAUAUUACUCCUCACUAACCUGUCUGCAGGUUCUAGAGAUAAGGCUUCUUCUCUCAGAAAAGAUGCCUUUGCCCAAAACCAGCACCCAACAUGGACAUGGACCCAACAGCCAUGGCAAGAACAUAGAACAAUGUCCCUGAUAAGCUCAGUGAAGUUGCAGGAUACCGAGCAAACACACGAGGGCUGGGAACGUGAGUUGGAUGGUGGCGUGGCUGCAUGGCGUACAGGAAGUCCCGAGUGUGAUCCCCAACUUGCAUAACCAGCUGAAGCCCAUGAGAGACCAAGGAGCCAGGCAUCUGGAUAUCUUAUGCAAAGAAUUUAUAGAUGGGAAAACCACAAAUUUAGAGCAACUGUGGUGACAGAGAUGCAUUGGACAUGUUGGGGGCUUCGUCUCCUGCCAGUGGUUCUGGAAACUUUGGGAGGUGGGACCUAGCUAGAUGAAGUAUGUCACUGGGGGGACAGCUCAUCAUCUGACAUGAGAUGAGUCGUGCUCUGUCCCACGCCCCUGCCACUAGAAUAGUGUGAAGAGCCACACAUCUGUGGACCACGGUGCCUGAAACCAGGAUCCCAAAAUAAAAAUAUUUUCUCUUCAUAUUGUUUCUGUCAGGUAUUUUUGUC